UGAGACCCAAAAAAAAAAGGAAAAAUAAAAAAAAAAGAUAUUUGGGGUGUUCGGGCUUCCUGAAGGUAAUACCCGGGUAUUAGGUUAUGGGGCUAUGAUAAGGUUAAAGGUUUUUGGUUUGAGGGUUAAAAUCAGUGUCCAAAACCUUUGUAGGAACUCUUUUCCAACCUUUUGGAGUUAGUUACCCCAAAAGAAAUGAAAAAUGAAAAAAAAAUGUUUGGGGUGUUCUGGCAUCCUGAAGGUAAUACCCGGGUUUUAGGUUAUGGGGCUAGGGUAAGGUUCAAGGUUUUUGGCGUUAGGGUUAAAAUCACUGUCCAAAACCUUUGUAGGAACUCUUUUCCAACCUUUUGGAGUUAGUUAGACCAGAAAAAAAGAAAAAAGAAAAAAAAAAUAUUUGGGGUUUUCGGGCUUCCUGAAGGUAAUACCCGGGUAUAAGGUUAUGGGGCUAGGGUAAGGUUUAAGGUUUUUGGCGUUAGGGUUAAAAUCACUGUCCAAAACCUUUGUAGGAACUCUUUUCCAACCUUUUGGAGUUAGUUAGACCUAAAAAAAAAAACGAAAAAUGAAAAAAAAAUGUU